rnacentral:rRNA from 1 species
GGUUUUCCAUAACUCUGAGGUGCGAAGUGGUUCUGACCUUUUGGUACAGAGAAGUCAUUGAUGCCCGGCUUCCAGGAAAAGCUGCUAGCCAUAACUUAUAGAGAACCGUACCGCAAACCGACACAGGUGGACAGGUAGAGAAUACUAAGGCGCUUGAGAGAACUCGGGUGAAGGAACUAGGCAAAAUGGUACCGUAACUUCGGGAGAAGGUACGCCCUUUCUGGUGAUGGGAUUUACUUUCAGAGCUGGAGAGGGCCGCAGAGACCAGGUGGCUGCGACUGUUUAUUAAAAACACAGCACUCUGCAAAUUCGUAAGAAGACGUAUAGGGUGUGACGCCUGCCCGGUGCCGGAAGGUUAAUUGAUGGGGUUAUCUUCGGAGAAGCUCUUGAUCGAAGCCCCGGUAAACGGCGGCCGUAACUAUAACGGUCCUAAGGUAGCGAAAUUCCUUGUCGGGUAAGUUCCGACCUGCACGAAUGGCGUAACGAUGGCCACACUGUCUCCACCCGAGACUCAGUGAAAUUGAAAUCGCUGUGAAGAUGCAGUGUACCCGCGGCUAGACGGAAAGACCCCGUGAACCUUUACUAUAGUUUUGCACUGGACUUUGAUGAUGACUGUGUAGGAUAGGUGGGAGGCUGUGAAGUGAGGACGCUAGUUCUCAUGGAGCCGCCCUUGAAAUACCACCCUGUUGUUAUUGAGGUUCUAACUUGGUCCAGUAAUCCUGGAUGAGGACAGUGUAUGAUGGGUAGUUUGACUGGGGCGGUCUCCUCCCAAAGAGUAACGGAGGAGCACAAAGGUACCCUCGGUACGGUCGGACAUCGUACCAAGAGUGUAAAGGCAAAAGGGUGCUUGACUGCGAGAGUGACGGCUCGAGCAGGAACGAAAGUUGGUCUUAGUGAUCCGGUGGUUCUGAAUGGAAGGGCCAUCGCUCAACGGAUAAAAGGUACUCCGGGGAUAACAGGCUGAUACCGCCCAAGAGUUCAUAUCGACGGCGGUGUUUGGCACCUCGAUGUCGGCUCAUCACAUCCUGGGGCUGAAGCAGGUCCCAAGGGUAUGGCUGUUCGCCAUUUAAAGUGGUACGCGAGCUGGGUUUAGAACGUCGUGAGACAGUUCGGUCCCUAUCUGCCGUGGGCGUAGGAAAAUUGAGAGGAGCUGCUCCUAGUACGAGAGGACCGGAGUGGACGAACCUCUGGUGCACCGGUUGUCACGCCAGUGGCAUGGCCGGGUAGCUAAGUUCGGACGGGAUAACCGCUGAAAGCAUCUAAGCGGGAAGCCUCCCUCAAGAUGAGUUUUCCCAUGAAGCCCGUUGAAGACUACGACGUUGAUAGGCAAGGUGUGGAAGCGCAGUAAUGCGUGAAGCUAACUUGUACUAAUUGGCUGAUUGUCUUGACCAU